CUAUGGUAUGUAUAAGACUCCAUUUAAGUGUUCGUUAUGAUUUUACUUUUCUACGUUUCUAUAUGGCUUAUUAAAGAAAGAGAGAAAGAUUGAUUGAUUCAAAUGUUACUACGUUUCCUGUUUGAAAUCAUCACGGAGAUAUGUACGGGUGUUCCAGUGAAGCAUUGAAGCAGGUGAAGCAGUCGUUCGGAGGGAAGAAUGCGUGUGGAGGGCGGUGAUUGGUUGACUGGAGGAGAUGACAAAGAAAGACCCGCAAGACCAUUAAUUACUUUACGGAUGCCGGAUGAAAUAUGGAUUGCUGUGCUGGGUGUCCUUCUAUCGCAGUGUCAGUUUACUUUCAUCCUAGCGAGGAGCAGGAUUACGGCACCAGUUUCUCCGUCGGUGUAAGGUAUUUUCAGUAUGCUUCGAUUUUUUUUCUUCUAAAUUUGUGAAGAGUAUGGCUGGCCCGUGUCACUUGAUGUUCCUCCGUGUUUUUGUUCCCACGUCUCCCUUUUCGGGUUGUGGUGUCUUACGAAGUGCACGUUUGGAGCUUGGGACGACAAAGCUGUGAAGCAUUGAAGCAGGUGAAGCAGUCCUUCGGAGGGAAGAAUGCGUGUGGAGGGCGGUGAUUGGUUGACUGCAAUGCAGGUGAAGCAGUCCUUCGGAGGGAAGAAUGCGUGUGGAGGGCGGUGAUUGGUUGACUGGAGGAGAUGACAAAGAAAGACCCGCAAGACCAUUAAUUACUUUACGGAUGCCGGAUGAAGUAUGGAUUGCUGUGCUGGGUGUGUCCUUCAAUCGCAGUGUCAGUUUACUUUCAUCCUAGCGAGGAGCAGGAUUACGGCACCAGUUUCUCCGUCGGUGUAAGAUGCAUCGUUUUUUUUCUUCCAAAUUUGUGAUGAGUAUGACUGGCCCGUGUCACUUGAUGUUCCUCCGUGUUUUUGUUCCCACGUCUUCCUUUUCGGGUUGUGUCUUACGAAGUGCACGUUUGGAGCUUGGGACGACAAAGCUGUACGGGUGUUCCAGUGAAACAUUGAAGCAGGUGAAGUAGUCGUUCGGAGGGAAGAAUGCGUUUGGAGGGCGGUGAUUGGUUGACUGGAGGAUAUGAGGAAGGUGAUUGGGUGGUAGGGAGAUGAGGAGCCAAUGUCUAAAGGUGUGGAAAUAGAGCUGGUCAAUCUGCUUGCUAUCUCGCGAGGAGCAGGAUUGCGGCACUAAUUUCGUCUUUUUGACCCGCAAGACCAUUACUUUCCGGAUGCAGUAUGGAUUGCUGUGCUGGGUGCGUCCUUCAAUCGCAGUGUCAAUCUACUUACAGCCUCGCGAGGAGCAGGAUUACGGCACAAAUGCAUCGUUUUUUUUUUUUUUAUUUGUGGAAAGUAUGGCUGGCCCGUGUCAUUAGAUGUUCAUCCGUGUUCUUGUUCCCACGUCUUCCUUUUCGGCAUGUGGUGUCUUACGAAGUG
rnacentral:misc_RNA from 1 species